UACGGGGGGGGCAAGCGUUGUUCGGAAUUACUGGGCGUAAAGGGCGCGUAGGCGGCCCUCUAAGUCAGACGUGAAACCCCACGGCUUAACCGUGGAACUGCGUCUGAUACUGGAGGGCUUGAAUCCGGGAGAGGGAUGUGGAAUUCCAGGUGUAGCGGUGAAAUGCGUAGAGAUCCGGAAGAACACCGGAGGCGAAGGCGGCUUGCUGGGCGUGAUCUGACGCUGAGGCGCGAAAGCGUGGGGAGCGAACAGG
rnacentral:rRNA from 1 species